CCUACGGGGGGCAGCAGUAGGGAAUCUUUCACAAUGGGCGAAAGCCUGAUGGAGCAACGCCGCGUGCAGGAUGAAGGCCUUCGGGUUGUAAACUGCUUUUAUAAGCGGGAAAUAUGAUGGUAACUUAUGAAUAAGGAUCGGCUAACUACGUGCCAGCAGCCGCGGUCAUACGUAGGAUCCGAGCAUUAUCCGGAGUGACUGGGUGUAAAGAGUUGCGUAGGUGGCAUAAUAAGUAGCUAGUGAAAUCUGGUGGCUCAACCAUUCAGACUAUUAGCUAAACUGUUAAGCUCGAGACCGUUAGGGGUAACUGGAAUUUCUAGUGUAGGAGUGAAAUCCGUAGAUAUUAGAAGGAACACCGAUAGCGUAGGCAGGUUGCUGGGACGGUUCUGACACUAAGGCACGAAAGCGUAGGGAGCAAACGGGAUUAGAUACCCGAGUAGUC
rnacentral:rRNA from 1 species